rnacentral:rRNA from 1 species
CAGCAGCCGCGGUAAUACGUAGGUGGCAAGCGUUGUCCGGAAUUAUUGGGCGUAAAGGGCUCGCAGGCUGUUUCUUAAGUCUGAUGUGAAAGCCCCCGGCUCAACCGGGGAGGGUCAUUGGAAACUUGGAAACUUGAGUGCAGAAGAGGAGAGUGGAAUUCCACGUGUAGCGGUGAAAUGCGUAGAGAUGUGGAGGAACACCAGUGGCGAAGGCGACUCUCUGGUCUGUAACUGACGCUGAGGAGCGAAAGCGUGGGGAGCGAACAGGAUUAGAUACCCGAGUAGUCCCUGUCUCUUAUAC